rnacentral:rRNA from 1 species
UGGGGAAUAUUGGACAAUGGGGGCAACCCUGAUCCAGCCAUGCCGCGUGAGUGAUGAAGGCCCUAGGGUUGUAAAGCUCUUUUACCCGGGAAGAUAAUGACUGUACCGGGAGAAUAAGCUCCGGCUAACUCCGUGCCAGCAGCCGCGGUAAUACGGAGGGAGCUAGCGUUGUUCGGAAUUACUGGGCGUAAAGCGCGCGUAGGCGGACUGUUAAGUCGGGGGUGAAAUCCCGGGGCUCAACCCCGGAACUGCCUUCGAUACUGGCAGUCUUGAGUUCGAGAGAGGUGAGUGGAAUUCCGAGUGUAGAGGUGAAAUUCGUAGAUAUUCGGAGGAACACCAGUGGCGAAGGCGGCUCACUGGCUCGAUACUGACGCUGAGGUGCGAAAGCGUGGGGAGCAAACAGGAUUAGAUACCCCCGUAGUCC